rnacentral:rRNA from 1 species
CAUACCAUGCUGAAUAUACCGAUUCUCGUCGAUCACCGAAGUCAAGCAUCAACGGGCGCGGUCAGUACUUGGGUGGGUGACCACCUGGGAACACCGCGUGCCGUU